rnacentral:rRNA from 1 species
CCUACGGGAGGCAGCAGCUAAGAAUAUUCCGCAAUGGACGAAAGUCUGACGGAGCGACGCCGCGUGGAUGAAGAAGGCCGAAAGGUUGUAAAAUCCUUUUGCUGGGGAAGAAUAAGUCUGGGAGGGAAUGCCCGGAUGAUGACAUGAACCGGCGAAUAAGCCCCGGCCAACUACGUGCCAGCAGCCGCGG